rnacentral:lncRNA from 1 species
UUUAAUGAUAUAAACAAUCACCAAGUUAAUACCAGUGAUCAAUUGAAUAUUCUCUAGGUGAACAUACUUUUUAAAUUCAGAUCUCAAGCGCUAUAAUCUAAAGAUCAAUAUCUAUGGUAACACCAUACAACUUCUUUAAGUUGGAUAAUUAAAUAGCAAUUCUUUAAAUUAUAAAUUCAGCAAACACUACCUUGUAAUUGGGAAUCUCCCUCUUCAAUCCAAGCGUUUAGCACAAAAAUCACGUCAAAUAAUUGAGGCAAGGCUGAGGCAAAAGCAGAAAUGACAGAUGCAAGGGGUAGGAAAUGGGCCAAAUGGCCGACAGAUAUCUGUGUGUAUGAUCUCGAGUAACUCAGUAUUCCUCUUGGAACUUUUAGUGGUCUGCUGUGGCCACUUUCCCAAAGACUCGUGUUAAGACUCCAUCAUUUACUAACAUUUUCAUUCUCUCUAUGGAGAUGUGUCCCAAUCUCCUAAGCCAAAGUUUAGAGGAGUUUUCAGUCCAUCCAAACAAGGCAAUGUUUUGGACCUUCCCGUAUAGCUCAGAAUGGUUAAUGAUACUGAAAGAGAAGGGUAAACUAAACUUCUGCCAAUUUUAUCUUGCCUCCAAACUCGACAGUUUUUUUAUCCUGGAAGAAAUUAAGGGGACUCCUAGGUACCUGACAGGGAGGGAUCGUGUAGCGAAGAAUUCUGAGGAGCUCGGUUUUGACAUCCCUAGCCGCCUUAAAGAGGUUGCUUUUGUCUGGAUUAGGAGCAAGCCCAGACAUGUAUUUGAAGAGAGAAGAAACGC